rnacentral:rRNA from 1 species
GACGAACGCUGGCGGCGUGCUUAACACAUGCAAGUCGAACGGUGAAGGUGGGAGCUUGCUCCCACCGGAUCAGUGGCGAACGGGUGAGUAACACGUGAGUAACCUGCCCCAGACUCUGGAAUAACCCCGGGAAACCGGAGCUAAUACCGGAUACGAGACGAGACCGCAUGGUCAUCGUCUGGAAAGUUUUUCGGUCUGGGAUGGACUCGCGGCCUAUCAGCUUGUUGGUGAGGUAACGGCUCACCAAGGCGACGACGGGUAGCCGGCCUGAGAGGGCGACCGGCCACACUGGGACUGAGACACGGCCCAGACUCCUACGGGAGGCAGCAGUGGGGAAUAUUGCACAAUGGGCGCAAGCCUGAUGCAGCGACGCCGCGUGAGGGAUGACGGCCUUCGGGUUGUAAACCUCUUUCAGCAGGGAAGAAGCGAAAGUGACGGUACCUGCAGAAGAAGCACCGGCUAACUACGUGCCAGCAGCCGCGGUAAUAC